GAUAUUGCAGAAUGCUUGUGAAGAGCUAACUCUCAACCCUGAAGAGCAUCGGGAAUUUGGAGGCGCAUUCCGUUUUAUCUGCUCGAAGAGUUCAUCAAGGGCCGGAUCAGCCGCAGCAUGGGCCGCAACAGGACGCGCAGAGGCCGCUAGUGCACCCGCCUAUGCACGCGUGCCCGCAGCUGUAGUACGAACCCGCCAUACCGCAACGGGCACUGAAAGAGCUACCACCAGACUGGCCGACAGACAACUGUGUGUUGAAAGAGAAUGUGCACAUUGUGGUGUCCUUCUUCAUGUUCCUGCUGCUGACCGCUGCAGGCCUACUGGGGUUCAUGACGGAGUACAGUGUCAAAUCACAUGUGGAUGUUGUUAAAUAAACUUGAGAAAAGCCUA